UACGUAGGGCGCGAGCGUUGUCCGGAAUUAUUGGGCGUAAAGAGCUCGUAGGUGGCUUGUUGCGUCUGCCGUGAAAGCCCGUGGCUUAACUACGGGUCUGCGGUGGAUACGGGCAGGCUAGAGGCUGGUAGGGGCAAGCGGAAUUCCUGGUGUAGCGGUGAAAUGCGCAGAUAUCAGGAGGAACACCUAUAGCGAAGGCAGCUUGCUGGGACGUUACUGACGCUAAGGCGCGAAAGCGUGGGGAGCGAACAGG
rnacentral:rRNA from 1 species